rfam:Medicago truncatula strain A17 chromosome 8, whole genome shotgun sequence.
AAACAGCCCCCUAUGUAUUGAAUCUUUGGCAGUUUUGGCCCCCAAGACCACUUUUGACUUAGUCUUGGUUGACAUGGCACCCACAACGGUCGACACGUGGCACGUCACUUAAGGGAUGUGGGUGUCACAUCAGCGAAGACUAAGCCAAAAGUGGCCUUGAGGGUCAAAACUGCCAAAGAUCCAAUACAUAGGGGGCUGUUU